AGCGAACGCUGGCGGCAGGCUUAACACAUGCAAGUCGAGCGGGCCCUUCGGGGUCAGCGGCGGACGGGUGAGUAACGCGUGGGAACGUGCCUUCUGGUCUGGAAUAACCCUGGGAAACUAGGGCUAAUGCCGGAUACGCCCUUUUGGGGAAAGGUUUACUGCCGGAAGAUCGGCCCGCGUCUGAUUAGCUAGUUGGUGGGGUAACGGCCUACCAAGGCGACGAUCAGUAGCUGGUCUGAGAGGAUGAUCAGCCACACUGGGACUGAGACACGGCCCAGACUCCUACGGGAGGCAGCAGUGGGGAAUAUUGGACAAUGGGCGCAAGCCUGAUCCAGCCAUGCCGCGUGAGUGAUGAAGGCCUUAGGGUUGUAAAGCUCUUUUAUCCGGGACGAUAAUGACGGUACCGGAGGAAUAAGCCCCGGCUAACUUCGUG
rnacentral:rRNA from 1 species